UACGGGGGGGGCAAGCGUUGUUCGGAAUUACUGGGCGUAAAGGGCUCGUAGGUGGCCAACUAAGUCAGACGUGAAAUCCCUCGGCUUAACCGGGGAACUGCGUCUGAUACUGGAUGGCUUGAGUUUGGGAGAGGGACGCGGAAUUCCAGGUGUAGCGGUGGAAUGCGUAGAUAUCUGGAAGAACAUCGGUGGCGAAGGCGCUCUGCUGGACCAUAGCUGACACUCAGGGACGAAAGCUAGGGGAGCGAAUGGG
rnacentral:rRNA from 1 species